rnacentral:rRNA from 1 species
UGCCCACUGAUAAAAUUAAAGGGCUGCAGUAUAUUGACUGUACAAAGGUAGCAUAAUCAUUAGUCAUUUAAUUGAUGACUUGUAUGAAAGAUUGGAUGAAAUAUAAACUGUCUUAAAUUUAAAUUAUAAAAUUUAAUUUUUUAGUUAAAAAGCUAAAAUAAGUUAAAAAGACGAGAAGACCCUAUAGAGUUUAAUUAAAAAUUUAUAUUAUUAAUUUUUUAUUUAAUUAAAAAUAUUAAUUAUUUUUUUAAUUUUGUUGGGGCGAUAAAAAAAUUUAAUAAACUUUUUUUUAUUUUUAACAUAAAUAAAUGAUUAUAUGAUCCAUUAUUAUUGAUUAUAAGAAAAAAUUACCUUAGGGAUAACAGCGUAAUUUUUUUUUUUAGUUCAUAUAAAAAGAAAAGUUUGCGACCUCGAUGUUGGAUUAAGAUAAAAUUUAAAUGUAGAAGUUUGAAGUUUUGA